rnacentral:rRNA from 1 species
GACGAACGCUGGCGGCGUGCCUAAUACAUGCAAGUCGAGCGAAUCAUUAGGAGCUUGCUCCUGAUGGUUAGCGGCGGACGGGUGAGUAACACGUGGGCAACCUGCCUGUAAGACUGGGAUAACACCGGGAAACCGGUGCUAAUACCGGAUAAUUCUUUCCCUCACAUGAGGGAAAGCUGAAAGUCGGUUUCGGCUGACACUUACAGAUGGGCCCGCGGCGCAUUAGCUAGUCGGGGAGGUAACGGCUCACCAAGGCGACGAUGCGUAGCCGACCUGAGAGGGUGAUCGGCCACACUGGGACUGAGACACGGCCCAGACUCCUACGGGAGGCAGCAGUAGGGAAUCUUCCGCAAUGGACGAAAGUCUGACGGAGCAACGCCGCGUGAGUGAUGAAGGCCUUCGGGUCGUAAAACUCUGUUGUUAGGGAAGAACAAGUAUCGGAGUAACUGCCGGUACCUUGACGGUACCUAACCAGAAAGCCACGGCUAACUACGUGCCAGCCGCCGCAGUAAAAC